rnacentral:rRNA from 1 species
UGCAGUCGAACGCUUCUUUUUCCACCGGAGCUUGCUCCACCGGAAAAAGAAGAGUGGCGAACGGGUGAGUAACACGUGGGUAACCUGCCCAUCAGAAGGGGAUAACACUUGGAAACAGGUGCUAAUACCGUAUAACAAUCAAAACCGCAUNGUUUUGAUUUGAAAGGCGCUUUCGGGUGUCGCUGAUGGAUGGACCCGCGGUGCAUUAGCUAGUUGGUGAGGUAACGGCUCACCAAGGCCACGAUGCAUAGCCGACCUGAGAGGGUGAUCGGCCACAUUGGGACUGAGACACGGCCCAAACUCCUACGGGAGGCAGCAGUAGGGAAUCUUCGGCAAUGGACGAAAGUCUGACCGAGCAACGCCGCGUGAGUGAAGAAGGUUUUCGGAUCGUAAAACUCUGUUGUUAGAGAAGAACAAGGAUGAGAGUAACUGUUCAUCCCUUGACGGUAUCUAACCAGAAAGCCACGGCUAACUACGUGCCAGCAGCCGCGGUAAUACGUAGGUGGCAAGCGUUGUCCGGAUUUAUUGGGCGUAAAGCGAGCGCAGGCGGUUUCUUAAGUCUGAUGUGAAAGCCCCCGGCUCAACCGGGGAGGGUCAUUGGAAACUGGGAGACUUGAGUGCAGAAGAGGAGAGUGGAAUUCCAUGUGUAGCGGUGAAAUGCGUAGAUAUAUGGAGGAACACCAGUGGCGAAGGCGGCUCUCUGGUCUGUAACUGACGCUGAGGCUCGAAAGCGUGGGGAGCAAACAGGAUUAGAUACCCUGGUAGUCCACGCCGUAAACGAUGAGUGCUAAGUGUUGGAGGGUUUCCGCCCUUCAGUGCUGCAGCUAACGCAUUAAGCACU